UGACAUUGAAACAUAGCUGGAAAGAGCCU
rnacentral:piRNA from 1 species